rfam:Mycobacterium kumamotonense strain Roo Mkuma_contig000021, whole genome shotgun sequence.
AACUCGAUCGGGUCGCAGUUGCGGGUGACGACGAGGUAGUCGCGCAGCGCGAUGCCGUGCCGAUUCUC